AUACGUAGGUGGCAAGCGUUGUCCGGAUUUACUGGGCGUAAAGGAUGCGUAGGCGGAUGUUUAAGUCAGAUGUGAAAAUCCCAAGCUUAACUUGGGAACUGCAUUUGAAACUGGAUAUCUAGAGUGCGGGAGAGGAGAAUGGAAUUCCUAGUGUAGCGGUGAAAUGCGUAGAGAUUAGGAAGAACACCAGUGGCGAAGGCGACUCUCUGGACCGUAACUGACGCUGAGGCUCGAAAGCGUGGGUAGC
rnacentral:rRNA from 1 species